CAAAUAGAACUGCUUCUCCAGGGUUGGUCCCAGACUGAAGAUGUGCAGAGCCACAGUUGAUAUACAUGAGCUGUAAUGUAAGGUAUUUGCAUGAUGUUCAAAAAUUGGUCUUGCUUUGUGGUUACUAAUAGGCACCAUAAAGGGCGCAAGACUGAUCAACUAUGCCAGACCUUCCUACGCAGUGGCCACAGCAUGUGGGCUAUGUGCCCCUAAAUUAAUCUCCCAGUCGUCUUCAAGGCUGCUCUUUCAUCCUGGUUCCUGCUCCUCUUAUUGUCCCAAGAUGACUGCCAACAGCUCCCAAGCCUGCCUCUUCCUCAUUCAUUGCUAGCAAGGAAGAGACAGUCCGUGUGCCAGACUUCUCAGCAAAAAUCCUGAGAUUCCCUCUGAUUGGACUGGCUGAUUCAUAUGACCACCCUGAAACAACCAUUCUGACCAGUGGGAUUGACUGGCUCAGCCCUGCUCUGCUCCCAGGGAGCCAGCUUCCUAGAAACACAUGGAUCCUAAAAAAGGGAAAAUGGAGUCAUGAGAGGCGCUGGUUGAAGGAUGGAUUCAUGGUUCUCAACCUUUCCUGUCUUGCCUUCCAUGAAGCGCUCUGUAAUCAAACCAAGAACACUGACUCUUCCCAAAGCAUUUAUCUUUGC